GAUUCUGUGGUAUGUGUUCAUUACUCUAUAUGCUUCUAUAGAAGUACAAUGUGACAGAGCAAAGCAGAGAGAUGAUCACCAAUGACCAAAGUGACUACAACAACAGCAAAGACAGGAAAUGUGGAAAGCCUAAAUAAGUGGGUGGGCAACAGGAGGUACCUGAGAAAUUAGUUUAAAAAGACAUUUAAUGCAGAUAUGUUGAGAUAAGAAGAACAAAUAUGUUUAAAUAUCUGAGUACUUUUCACAUUGUGAAUUAAGUCAAAGGUUUCCAUGCAGUGGCUCAUUUUUCUUCUGCUAAUUAAAACGUGCAGUAGAUCUGAUCAAACUCGUAGCUCUCUCCUUCAUCACUCGUAUGACUAUCAUUACAAGCUCCAAUGUUUUGUCAGUGGUUAUAAUGCCACUGAUGGGACUCCAAAGCCCCCUGCAGUAACAGACGGGUGAUGUCACUCUGGCUUAGUCCAUUCAUUCUUACAGGCUGUGGUUGCACACCAGAGAAAAAUUAGAUACAUUGAAAACCAACAUUUUAAACAUCUAAUCCACAUUCUAUAUUUGACCUAGCCUCCAGUGACUCCGGUGACUCCAUCGGUCCACCCCAUGUUGAGCCUGGUGUAUCUUGGAUGAUGGUGUUCAGUCCAGCCAUCACGGUCCUCUCCACCUUCCUGUGCCUGACUUUUGUUUAUCUCUGCAGUCAGAAUGCAGAUGAAAAAGAUCAAAUGACUGAGAGAAGACCUGACAUGGGAGAGGAAAGUACAGUGAAUCAGGAUGAAGACGCAUGUUUCACCAGAGUUGUGUUCUUGUGUGUCGAUGGACGGAACAAAUAGAUUGGCUUUGUCUGAGCGGACAUCACACAAGCUCCACUUCAAACUUCUCACAAAGUCUUUAGAGUCCGAGUUUAAAGACCUGUUAUAUUUGUACACAGUGAUGAUGCGUUUUGGGGGCGGAGUCAAAAUGGUGUCAGAAAGUCAGCUAGUGGUGUUGAAUUAACUGUUUGUUUGUUUGUUUUCUGGCUUCUUGCCUUCACUUGAUAAGACGGUGUAUAGAGUAGUAAACAGGAAAGAGAGAGGGGGGAAUGACAUGUGGUAAUGGAACCACAGGCCGGACCUGAACCACCCGCCCAGAGGACCAGAGCUUCCAAACAUUCGGGCAACCCAACCAGCAGGUCAGCUGUGGUCAUGAAUUAACAAUUGGGUCUUCGGCAGAUGUUCAGCAGAAGCAGCUUUUGAGGACCCUUGUUUACUAUCACAAUGACGUUAAUCAUCCUACUACGACGCUCGAUGGCCGAUUAGGAUCCAAUUUGUCAAUGUCUUCAGAGACAUAAACAUCAACAAAACAGAUAUUUUCAACAAGUAAACAAGUAAACAAGUAUCGUUAUUAUAGCAAAGAUUACUUUGACACGACUAAAAGUGACAGCAAGAGAUCGCUGCCAGGCUUAGAACUGUGCAACCCAAUACAUGGCCUUCCUGGGCACCAACAGUGCUGCACUUUCAGGAGGAAGACUCAGAUUUCAUUUUAACUAGUUCACCACAAUGAAUUAAUUUUUUUAACAUUAAUCCCGUUUUAGUUUGCAUACUGUUUCCAAUUUAUUCAUCAUGUGUAACUAUGUUGUAACCAUUACUAAUGUACAUGUAUUCUUCCUUUAUGUUCACCAUCUAUUUGUAAUAAAGAUUCAC